GACGAACGCUGGCGGCGCGCCUAACACAUGCAAGUCGAACGAGCGAGCGAGAGCUUGCUUUCUUGAGCGAGUGGCGAACGGGUGAGUAACGCGUGAGGAACCUGCCUCAAAGAGGGGGACAACAGUUGGAAACGACUGCUAAUGCCGCAUAAGCCCACGACCCGGCAUCGGGUUGAGGGAAAAGGAGCAAUCCGCUUUGAGAUGGCCUCGCGUCCGAUUAGCUAGUUGGUGAGGUAACGGCCCACCAAGGCGACGAUCGGUAGCCGGACUGAGAGGUUGAACGGCCACAUUGGGACUGAGACACGGCCCAGACUCCUACGGGAGGCAGCAGUGGGGAAUAUUGCACAAUGGGGGAAACCCUGAUGCAGCGACGCCGCGUGGAGGAAGAAGGUCUUCGGAUUGUAAACUCCUGUUGUUGAGGAAGAUAAUGACGGUACUCAACAAGGAAGUGACGGCUAACUACGUG
rnacentral:rRNA from 1 species